rnacentral:rRNA from 1 species
AGUGAACGCUGGCGGCGUGCUUAACACAUCCAAGUCGAACGAGAACGGAUUAUAGCUUGCUAUAAUUGUCAGCUAAGUGGCGCACGGGUGAGUAAUGUAUAGGUAAUAUGCCUCUUACUAAGGGAUAACAAAUGGAAACGUUUGCUAAUACCUUAUACUCCUUAUUAACAUAAGUUAAUAAGGGAAAGAUUUAUUGGUAAGAGAUUAGCCUGUAUUGUAUCAGUUAGUUGGUGGGGUAAUGGCUUACCAAGACUAUGACACAUAACUGGUUUGAGAGGAGGAUCAGUCACACUGGAACUGAGACACGGUCCAGACUCCUACGGGAGGCAGCAGUGGGGAAUAUUGCACAAUGGACGAAAGUCUGAUGCAGCAACGCCGCGUGGAGGAUGACACAUUUCGGUGCGUAAACUCCUUUUAUAUGAGAAGAUAAUGACGGUAUUAUAUGAAUAAGCACCGGCUAACUCCGUGCCAGCAGCCGCGGUAA